rnacentral:rRNA from 1 species
UACGUAGGUGGCAAGCGUUGUCCGGAUUUACUGGGCGUAAAGGGCGUGCAGGCGGUUUGUUAAGUCUAGGGUGAAAGCUCCCGGCUCAACUGGGAGAGGUCCUUGGAUACUGGCAGACUUGAGGAGGGUAGAGGAGAGUGGAAUUCCCGGUGUAGUGGUGAUAUGCGUAGAUAUCGGGAGGAACACCAGUGGCGAAGGCGGCUCUCUGGGCCCUACCUGACGCUGAGACGCGAAAGCGUGGGGAGCGAAC